GAACUGAAGAGUUUGAUCCUGGCUCAGAUUGAACGCUGGCGGCAUGCCUUACACAUGCAAGUCGAACGGCAGCACGGACUC
rnacentral:rRNA from 2 species